rnacentral:siRNA from 1 species
UGCAACACACACUUCAUGAGCCC